rnacentral:rRNA from 1 species
GAGUUUGAUCAUGGCUCAGAUUGAACGCUGGCGGCAUGCCUUACACAUGCAAGUCGAACGGCAGCAUGAUCUAGCUUGCUAGAUUGAUGGCGAGUGGCGAACGGGUGAGUAAUACAUCGGAACGUGCCCUGUAGUGGGGAUAACUAGUCGAAAGAUUAGCUAAUGCCGCAUACGACCUGAGGGUGAAAGUGGGGGACCGCAAGGCCUCAUGCUAUAGGAGCGGCCGAUGUCUGAUUAGCUAGUUGGUGGGGUAAAGGCCCACCAAGGCGACGAUCAGUAGCUGGUCUGAGAGGACGAUCAGCCACACUGGGACUGAGACACGGCCCAGACUCCUACGGGAGCAGCAGUGGGGAAUUUGGACAAUGGGCGAAAGCCUGAUCCAGCAAUG